UGCAUAUUCUUCUACUGCCGUCCAGCACAAUUGUCCCAUACUACCGGUUGCACCAUCUAGGAGUGCUUUGCUUUGACAUCCAGUUAAUACUGCCCUGACCUACGGACCAUCAUUCAUUUUCGGUUUUAGAGUUGUGCCAUCUGCCUAUCCAACACCUUUAGUGUUUCCUCUGCCGUACGUUCCUCCACUUCAAGCUGGAUUCAAUAGGAGAAAGAGGAAAUUUAUUUGGAAUCAUCGAUCGGGCAAAAUUAAAAGUACGUUGUUCCUUAUUUGUAUAUUGGUCAUCUCGCUCUUCACAUGCUCUCUUAUCUUCGUUUAUUAAACUGAUCUUCAUGAUUGUGUUUUCAGUUAAAAAACUUGCGCCUCCAUUUUCCAAAGAUUACAUUGAUUUGCUGAAAGCAACUGUUCGCGGACGUUCAUACUAUGGAGGUCCCGAGUACAUAUGUGGUAGCUGUAAUGCUUUGUAUUGGUUUCAAGAACGUUCUAAGGGUGCUCAUGAUGGAAGGUUAAAUUUGCCAGUUUACAAUGGUUGUUGCUGUGCUGGAAAAGUUUCUUUACCUAAAU